rnacentral:rRNA from 1 species
AUCCGCGCAAAACCUUACCAACCCUUGACAUAAAGAAACAGAAAGCGUUUUAUUUGUUUAAAAUUGUUUUCAAAUAAUAAAAUAGGUUAAGUAUUUUUAAUAAAUUUCUUUACAGGUGUUGCACGACUGUCGUCAGCUCGUGUCGUAAGAUAUUUGGUUUAUUCCUUUAACGAGCGUAACUCUUAUCUUUAAUAUUAAUUUUGUACUUUUAUUUUUGGUUUUAAAAUACAAGCUUUAAAGAGACUGUCAAUGACAAAUUGAAGGAAGUGAGAAUUAAGUCAAGUCCCUGUGGCCCUUAUGGGUUGGGCUACACACGUGCUACAAUGAAAAUUACAAAAAGUAACAAAAAUUUUAGUUAAUCUUUAAAAAUUUUCUUAGUUCGGAUUGUAAACUGCAACUCGUUUACAUGAAGUUGGAAUCACAAGUAA